GCAGCGGAGCGUGUGGUUUAAUUCGUUGCUACACGAAGAACCUUUACCUGGGUUUUGACAUAUAGGUUGUAGGGAACUGAAAAGGGACCGACCCUUCGGGGAGCCUAUACAGGUUGUUGCAUGGCUGUCGUCAGCUCGUGUCGUGAGAUGUUCGGUUAAGUCCGCUAACGAGCGCAACCCUCGUCGUAUGUUAUAUGUGUCAUACGAGACUGCCGGUAAAAGCCGGAGGAAGGUGAGGAUGAUGUCAAGUCAGCAUGACCUUUAUAUCCAGGGCUACACACACGCUACAAUGGUCUGUACAAUGGGUAGCCAAGCCGCGAGGCGGAGCCAAUCCUGAAAGCAGGCCUCAGUUCAGAUUGCAGUCUGCAACUCGACUGCAUGAAGCCGGAGUUGCUAGUAACCGCAGGUCAGCAAUACUGCGGUGAAUACGUUCCCGGGUCUU
rnacentral:rRNA from 1 species